rnacentral:lncRNA from 1 species
GUGAGCAUGUACCCAUUACGGGGCUACAACACUUGCCGACAGCCAACUGGCCUCCAUCAUACCACUCCAUCCAGAUAAAACAUUUUGGUUUUAUUUCGAAUUUUUUUUCCAAAAACAUACUCGCUCAUAAAGAGCACUUAAUACUUUGCAAUAUAGUUUGGGUCCCCUCCCGUUAUAAUAGUAUAGCAUGCUUUGGAAAAAUGUAUAUACAUAACCUAUGGUAUUUGGUGGCAUGGCAAUAAAUCCUAUAAGCAAUCUACUAGGAAUAACUAAACAUGUUGAAAACGCAUUUGAUAAAUACUUCAUAAAGAAAUAACUCUAACAUGCAUCCCUAUGAUGUUGUAAACAAAAUAGCAUAAGCAAAAAUAUAGGUUCUACAUGGUCAAUAAGUGUAACUUGCCUGGUUCAGAAAAGUUGUUGCGGUCGUCAAUCCCUGGCACUCUUCGCAAUCGCAAUCCGAAUAAUCUAACGCGAAGAACGAAACAACAAUAAAUGCAUAGUUCCAAACAUCUCUCAAAGGCCAAAUAUAACUCCAAAUGAACUUCGGAUAAAGGAUGUAUCACAAGCAUAAAAAUAACAGAACCUAAACGUCAUCUAAGUAAUACCAUAGUAUUAACAAUUCAAGUUCUAAAGCCUAAGAUUAAGGCUAGUGUGGCUAAGUCUGAAAAAUUCAGAAAUAUGCUACUGUUAACAGAUAGUUGCAUGUUUGAACUCAAAUUUUAAUCUGAAAAGGCUUUAAUAGAUCUUAUUUCAAUUUAAACCCUAGGAUUUACACCCAUUUAAGCUUUGGAUCUUCAAACCAACAGGGUUUAUUUAUAAAAAGGUUCAUUGCAUAAUUAAGCUAUCCCAUAAUUUUUGGAUAAUUAUUUGGAGUUGAAAAACUAUUUUAUUUAAAUAGUUAUAUAGCCCUAAAGGCAUUUAUAGGGAAAAUGUAUUUUUAUGUAUUUUAUUUUGAGGGGAAAUUACUCCCAAAAGUUGAAUCAUGGUAAAAUAUGAUUUUACAAAUUAUCUGGAAUUUAUUUGGACCAAUUUGGAGUUCAAAAUCAAAAGAUAUCAAAGAAAUAAGAAAAACAGAAAAAGAAAAGGCUAAAAGAAAAAAAAAAGGGAAAAACGGACCGGCCC